rnacentral:rRNA from 1 species
UACAGAGGUGGCAAGCGUGGUUCGGAAUUACUGGGCGUAAAGGGCGCGUAGGCGGCCCGUCAAGUCCCGUGUGAAAGCCCCCGGCUCAACCGGGGAACUGCACGGGAAACUAGCAGGCUUGAGUUCGGGAGAGGGAAGCGGAAUUUCGGGUGUAGCGGUGAAAUGCGCAGAUAUCCGAAGGAACACCGGUGGCGAAGGCGGCUUCCUGGACCGACACUGACGCUGAGGCGCGAAAGCUAGGGGAGCAAACGGG